CGAGCUGUUAAUUAUUCUCUGGGGGAGGUUACAGCUUCUAGAACAUUCUGGGGGUGGGGGUGGGGGUGGGGCAUCUGUCCAUCUUCUCAGUACUCUGCUUGGGUCAUCAACACGGCUUCUCUUGUGUCUUUGAGGGGAUUGAUCUGAGACCCUGGGUGAGCCUAGGUUCUAGGCCUGGAGGUGGGUUAGGCACCGGACAGAAGAGAGCUGAGACCCAGGAAGAAGGCCUAGCAGUGAGCGCUCGUGGAGCACCCCCUCAAGUGACCAUGCUUGAGCUGGGGUUUCAGGGAGUGAGAUGCAGAGCACACAGAGUC
rnacentral:lncRNA from 1 species